AGUACAGCUUUGCUGGAGGAUAUGCUGAAUGCCAGUAAGGGAUUGAGAUAAAGAGCAAGUGAAUUUGUGCAUAAAUAAGCUGGAGAAAUCUUCUUUUGGAGUUGGGCUUCUGGUACUUGACAUAGGACAUCUGAAAGUGACUGACCAAGAUUCUGCUGACAGACSUCGUUGAAGUUUUUAUAAAUUUCUUGGCCAAUUUUUUAAAUUUCCUUUGCUAGUGGCUUGUAUGAUGUGCUAUUAGGUUUGCAGAUAGAUUUAUUUGCUGUGACAUUUAAUUGAGUGAAUGGCUCACGUUUUUU